CCAAACCCUGCUGCACCUGCAUGAGGCACCGCGGGGAGGAGUGGCGGUGGUAGCACCGGCUAGCCAGCGCCUCGCAGGCUCGCAGCGCACGACGGUACGAGGAUCCGUGAGAGGAUGGAACGCACGUUCCAAGCUGCUCAUGAUUUUGCGAUUUCCUUUACUUUGAUUUGCUUCCGGGGAACAAAUCCAUGGAUGCUCUUGCGUUGCUCGUCUUUGGUGGUAUGUGUACAGGCUGCCGCCGUGCUCUGACAAGGUCGCACGCCAGGUGUUUGUGGAAAUGACCCAAAAAGUAUGGAGAAAAUAUUAGGUACAUGAUUGUUUUGAAGGAAAUAUAAGAGGUCAAAUCGAACACGCCGACGCGUCCGCAGACUUUUAAGAGAUCAAAUUAACGGUUCGACUGUAGAUGUUCUAAUGUAUAAAGGAUCUAAACUAUUUAAUGGUAAGCAACUCAAUCCCAGACCUCAACUGACGAGGGGGCUCCAAAAUUACAGUGUUUAGCGAAGUUAUAUACUCUCUCCAUUUCUAAAUAUAAGUC
rnacentral:lncRNA from 1 species